rnacentral:rRNA from 1 species
CAGUAGCCGCGGUAAUACGUAGGUGGCAAGCGUUGUCCGGAUUUACUGGGCGUAAAGCGCGCGCAGGCGGAUGGUUAAGUAGGAAGUGAAAGGUUGGAGCUCAACUCCAACAUUGCUCCCUAUACUGGCCGUCUUGAGUCCCGGAGAGGAAAGCGGAACGACACGUGGAGCGGUGAAAUGCGUUGAUAUGUGUCGGAACACCAAUGGCGAAGGCAGCUUUCUGGACGGGUACUGACGCUCAGGCGCGAAAGCCGAGGUAGCGAACAGGAUUAGAUACCCGUGUAGUCCCUGUCUCUUAUAA